CAGUAAUGACUUUUACUGCACAUUUGUUGUGGCAGUAAAGGUGGGUGGUGUUUCAUAUGUGGAAUCUCUGUAGAGAGGUUUGAAGAAUGUGAGGAGGCCUCAGCAGACGCAUGAUAACAGAUAUGUUGUCUUUUUGUCUCCACAGAUCACCAGAAGUUGGAGCGUGAGGCCAGGAUCUGCCGCCUGCUCAAGCAUGCCAACAUCGUGCGGCUCCAUGACAGCAUAUCAGAGGAAGGAUUCCACUAUCUGGUCUUUGACUUAGUGACCGGUGGUGAGUUGUUUGAGGACAUUGUUGCCCGGGAGUACUACAGCGAAGCCGAUGCCAGUCAUUGCAUUCAGCAGAUCCUAGAGGCCGUGCUCCACUGCCACCAGAUGGGCGUGGUCCACCGCGACCUCAAGCCAGAGAAUUUACUCUUAGCCAGCAAGUUGAAAGGGGCAGCGGUCAAACUGGCAGAUUUUGGCCUGGCUAUUGAGGUGCAGGGAGAACAGCAGGCAUGGUUCGGUGAGUAUAUGCAACUUUCUAAAUGAGUUUGUCAUGAAUGAAUGAACUCUUGGUUGAUUUUUGUGAGUUUUCACUCCUUUUAUUUAAAUAAUAUCGAUCAAUGGGAAUGUUUGAGCUAAUAUACAUAGCUCUAGGAUAGUUUAAUUAGAAUUAAAAUUAUCAGAGUUCUAGGGGUGUAGGGAUCAUGUUGAUAGGAUCUUCUGUUCUUUAGUUCUGUCAAAAAAUGCCCAAAACCAAAAGGCCCAUUUUCAUGGAUACUAUUGUUUUUUUUCUUUUUCUUCAGGUGUGAUUAUUAUGAUUUUAAUAUUUUCCCAACUGGUUUUCUAUCAUAUAGAUAGAUGGGAGGCAGGUUUUUUUUCCUGGUGGGUGGUCAUCAGUUAUCAUGCUUCAUAGUCAAACAGUAGUUGUUCCAGGUCCUUACACAAAUAGAAAAUGCAAUGCCUGUAAGCAUAUCUAUUUAUAAUUACAUAUACACACUAAAGAAUAAUUUUACUUCAAAAAUCCAUCCCCUUUAAAAAGUAAAAAGAUCUGUAUCCUCUCGGAUGCACACAUCCUAUUUCACACCUCUCUAAAUGUUUGAUUCAAUGAAAAUUCAAUGAACCUCUUCAAUUAUGCUAUUUUACCAAUGAUGCCCUUUGUACCUGUCUAAAGCGACUAGGUGCGCCACUGCUCUCGGCUCUUAUAUCAACCUUGGAUUGGACAUAUUUCAGACCUAUUUCUUCUCCAUGUUCCCUGUAGAACAGAGAAAUAAUUGGUCUAUUCCCCUCAGCUGCAGCCUCCAUCUGGAACCAGUUCACUUCAUCUUCUGACUUUAGCACUAGUCCUACUACGUCUCAUAGGGUCUGCUGCUACUUUAAGGCUUUUUUGUUUCAAGUAGGCUGCAUGUUGCUGGUCACAAACCUCGGCUCAUGAACUUCACUGUAUUGGACCACUGAUCCUUAGCUACUGUGAAAUGUUUUGUUUUUAGAAGAGGGUCCUUAAAAGCUUUUGAUAGACUUCGAAAUAGAGCAGGUGGAGAAUUCCUUAUCGGGCUAAACAAAUCUAUUAAUGAGUGAUAUUGUCAAAGCUUUUCUUAAAAUAGAGGGGUAUUUUAAGUAAGGUAUGGUGUGUUUAUGUGUGUGUGUGUGUGUGUGUGUGUGUGUGUGUGU